CUACGGGUCGCAGCAGUGAGGAAUUUUGCGCAAUGGGGGAAACCCUGACGCAGCAACGCCGCGUGAGUGAAGAAGGCCCUUGGGUCGUAAAGCUCUGUCAAUGGGGAAGAAGUUACUUGGUAUUAAUAGUGCCUUGUAUUGACGGUACCCAUGAAGGAAGCACCGGAUAACUCCGUGCCAGGCAGCCGCGGUAAUACGGGGGGUGCAAGCGUUAUUCGGAAUUAUUGGGCGUAAAGGGCACGCAGGCGGUCCUGUCAGUCAGAUGUGAAAGCCCGGGGCUCAACCCCGGACGUGCAUUUGAAACAGCAGGACUUGAGUACGGGAGAGGAAAGGGGAAUUCCUGGUGUAGAGGUGAAAUUCGUAGAUAUCAGGAGGAACGCCGGUGGCGAAGGCGCCUUUCUGGACCGAUACUGACGCUGAGGUGCGAAGGCGUGGGUAGCGAACGGGAUUAGAUACCCGUGUAGUC
rnacentral:rRNA from 1 species